ACAACCUGCCCUUAGGUUGGGUAUAAACCCGGGAAACUGGGUAUAAUACCCGAUAGGUCUCGAUUGCUGGAAUGCAUCGAGAUUUAAAGCUCCGGCGCCUAAGGAUGGGUCUGCGGCCUAUCAGGUAGUAGUGGGUGUAGCGUACCUACUAGCCUACGACGGGUACGGGUUGUGAGAGCAAGAGCCCGGAGAUGGAUUCUGAGACACGAAUCCAGGCCCUACGGGGUGCAGCAGGCGCGAAAACUUUACAAUGCUGGCAACAGCGAUAAGGGAACCUCGAGUGCCAGGUUACAAAUCUGGCUGUCGAGAUGCCUAAAAAGCAUUUCAUAGCAAGGGCCGGGCAAGACCGGUGCCAGCCGCCGCGGUAACACCGGCGGCUCGAGUGGUAACCGUUAUUAUUGGGUCUAAAGGGUCUGUAGCCGGCCGGAUAAGUCUCUUGAGAAAUCUGGCAGCUUAACUGUCAGGCUUUCAGGAGAUACUGUCUGGCUCGAGGCCGGGAGAGGUGAGAGGUACUUCAGGGGUAGGGGUGAAAUCUUGUAAUCCUUGAAGGACCACCAGUGGCGAAGGCGUCUCACCAGAACGGACCUGACGGCAAGGGACGAAAGCUAGGGGCACGAACCGGAUUAGAUACCCGGGUAGUCCUAGCCGUAAACGAUACUCGCUAGGUGUCGGCCACGGUGCGACCGUUGUCGGUGCCGUAGGGAAGCCGUGAAGCGAGCCACCUGGGAAGUACGGCCGCAAGGCUGAAACUUAAAGGAAUUGGCGGGGGAGCACCACAACGGGUGGAGCUUGCGGUUCAAUUGGAUUCAACGCCGGAAAUCUUACCGGGACCGACAGCAAUAUGAAGGCCAGGCUGAAGACUUUGCCGGAUUAGCUGAGAGGUGGUGCAUGGCCGUCGUCAGUUCGUACUGUGAAGCAUCCUGUUAAGUCAGGCAACGAGCGAGACCCACGCCCACAGUUGCCAGCGUACUCUCUGGAGUGACGGGUACACUGUGGGGACCGCCGCUGCUAAAGCGGAGGAAGGAAUGGGCAACGGUAGGUCAGUAUGCCCCGAAUAUCCCGGGCUACACGCGAGCUACAAUGGUUGGUACAAUGGGUAUCUACCCCGAAAGGGGACGGGAAUCUCCUAAAACCAAUCUUAGUUCGGAUUGAGGGCUGCAACUCGCCCUCAUGAAGCUGGAAUCCGUAGUAAUCGCGUUUCAACAGAACGCGGUGAAUACGUCCCUG
rnacentral:rRNA from 1 species